rnacentral:rRNA from 1 species
CUCCAAUAGCGUAUAUUAAAGUUGCUGCAGUUGAAAAGCUCGUAGUUGUAUUUCUGGGGUGGACUUUCGGUCCGCGGCCUUGUGUCGUGUGUACUGUAUUCUGUUCCACUCCAUCCUCGUAGUGAUUACAUCUGGCAUUUAGUUGUCGGUUGUAGGAGCUGCGUCGUUUACUGUGAAAAAAUUAGAGUGUUUAAAGCAGG